AAGAGGAGCCGUCCGCCCAGGGCCUGGGAGGUCCCCACAUGGUGAGGUGGCCGCAGAAAAUCAGCCAGAAGGACACGGUUUGCUGCUUCUGCUCUGAAGCAGCCGGCGUCCUUCUUCAGGAUGCUCUCUGUGGCUGUCACCGUGGACCCCCGAGAUGUGCAAGUUGAGGCACACAGACGCUCUGGAGCCCACAGCACCGCGCUGAAGCUGGAAUCCCACCUCAGGCAGUCUGGCUGGAACCUCAGUGCUCUCACUAUUUCCCGGAGGAGGGGGGACGACGGCCCUGCCCAGGUCCUCAGACCUCUGCCGGCAGGGAACCUUGGCCAGGCAUCCACCACACCCAGGAGAUGCGUGGCUUCCGGGCAAGGCUGCACUGAGACAGGACCAGCGACGGAUAACUUCGCUUCGAAUCAGAGAUGCGCUCUCCCAGAAGUCACAGGCAAAUCUAAUUUUUAUAAAUCAUGUCCUAUCUCGAAUACCUUAGGGGAAUUCAUAACUUAAAAAAACCCGUCUGUGUUCCUUUAUAAUUGCUGCCUAAUAUAACUCUCAGUUUGAAAUGCCAUGAGCAACUCUGCAGGGCAACGGGACUCCAGAAGGGGCUCUUCAGGUGUACGUACCGUUUUGGGGGGGUAGGGAAUAAAUAAGAUCCUCUUUCACAUGCCCUA